GGGAAGAUGAGAGAUCAGGGUAUCCCUUACGCCCCUCUCUGCCCCCACCUCGCAUGGCUUCUUUCCACUCCAAUCUCGAAUCCUAACCAUCCAUGGCCUCCCGGAUCUGAUCUCCUCCGGCGUCCGCCAUGGCCUCCGCCGAGCCCCUGGGGCGCACCUCCCGCGCCGGCCGCGUCCUUGGCCCGACUCUCGACAAGGUCAUCAAGAACGUCGCCUGGCGGAAGCACUCCAACCUCGUCUCCGCCUGCAAAGCCGCCCUUGACCGCUUCGACGCCAUCACCGACUGCGAUAACUCUCCCGCCUCUGCCCUUCGCGGCCUCUCCUCGUCAGACGCCGACACCGUCCUCCACCCCCUCGCCCUCGCCGUCGAUACGGCCUCCGCCAAGGUCGCUGAGUCCGCCCUUGACUGCGCCUAGAAGCUCUUCUCCCUCGGCCUCAUCCACGGCGAGAUCGACUACCGAUCCGAUGGCCAGGACCGCCGACUUCACGCCGCGUCCGGUCUCGUUGGCUUCAUCUGUGGGUGCUUCGUCGGAGAAAGUAGCUUCAUUCCUGAAAAACACUACUGGGUUGAAUCAAACCAUGAUCGGUGAUUAUCUGGGGGAAAGGGAAGAGUUCCCUUUGAAAGUUAUACAUGCGUAGGUGGAUUCAUUUAAUUUGGAAGUUAUGGAUUUUGAUGAAGCCAUUUAAGUUUUUCUUGUGGGGCUUUAGGUUGCCGGGAGAAGCACAGAAUUGAACGCAUCAUGGAGAAGUUCACAGAAUUCUACUGCAAGUGAAACCCUAGUUCUUUUGCCAGUUUAGAUACUGCAUAUUCUUGCUUAUUCUAUGACAAUACUAAAUAUAUAUGCACACAACAAUAUGGUCGAAGACAAGGUGUGUUCAGUUAUGUUGUUUCUGUUAUAUGUAGAGCAGUUAAAACUAAAAGUAGGCGAGCUAUGGAGCAACAGUAAGGUUGCUCUAUUUAGACCUGAAGGUCACGAGUUUGAAACACAGAAACAACCUCUCCUCGUAUAUGGGUGAGGUUGUGUAAAUCUAACCUCCUUAGACGCCGCAAUGGCAGGAGCUUUGUGCACUGAGCUGCCCUUUUUCUUAAAACAUUUAAAACUAGAAGGUUAUAUACUCUCCUUGUUUUGGUGUAGAUGUCUAAAGUUGAUUUCAGUUGCAAAAAAUAAGGAAUAAAUGAUGGAAAGGAUUUACCAGAAGAUUAUUUGGGUUCCUUGUAUGAUCAAAUAGUGAAAAAUGAAAUAAAAAUGAAUGCUGAUUCUUCAGCUCCACAGAACAAGUAGACAAGCAGUAUCAAUAAGCUUUUGGGCUUGGACAGUAUUUUCAGCUUAACCAAUUGGAAACAGGCAGAAGAAAAGGCUUUAGGUGCAAAUGACUUGCUCAUUAAGAAUAUCCAGGAGAAAUUCAAAGCAAAGAGUGGGAAGUUAGAGAAAGACCAAUUUUGAUAAUGCUCAGUGGGAGGAAUUUAAUGCUACUUCUGAUUAUAUUUACUCUUGUUGGUCAUGCAGGUCUGUGUUUUAUGCUGUCAGCGAUACAGCUAUUCCAAGAUUUAUGAUGGAGGUCUGCUGGGCCCAUAUGAUGGCUGCUUUCAGUGUGACACUUGACCAAAGUGGUGAUAAGGCAGCUACAUCUCAUUAUCUGCAUGGUUUCUGAUGUGGUGCGCGUCACCUCAGUUAUACGUAUGCAGAUGCAGAGAGAUGCUUUUUGUUACAUCUGUAUGGCCAAAUUUGCAUACCUUCACUCUGCUGCUGACAUGAAGCACGAGAUUGUUGAUGCUGUGAAGUAUAAUAUUGAUCGCCAUGGAAGUUGGUAAUUAUUUACAAGAAGCGUGAAGCUUGUUUUGAUGUGUCUUUCACGGUUUGAGCAUUUACACCCGCUGGGAGAGGGUGCUCCUCUCGAUGCUUCAUUCUUUACAGUACCUCCUGAGUCGAGGAAAAGUCACGAAGUCACCUUCAAUUCCACCCUCAAAGGACAAAAGGAAAAUGCCCUUCCAAAUCCAGCUGUAAUGUCUGUUGUCCGAGGGGGUUCUUAGGAUAGUGCAUCAGUUAAUGCUUCAUCAUUGAUUACUCCUGAACAGAUAAAUAUUUUUAUUUCAAAUUUAAAUUUAUUGGACCAGAUUGGGCGUUUUGAGCUAAACCAUGUUUGCUCAUAGCCAGAGAAUGAAUGGUGCUGCAAUAGUAGCUUUUGUAAAGACUCUUUGCAAUGUUUCCAUGAUGGAAUUGCAGUCUCCUACAAAUCCUUGUGUUU